rnacentral:rRNA from 1 species
GAUGAACGCUGGCGGCGUGCCUAAUACAUGCAAGUCGAGCGAACAGACGAGGAGCUUGCUCCUCUGACGUUAGCGGCGGACGGGUGAGUAACACGUGGAUAACCUACCUAUAAGACUGGGAUAACUUCGGGAAACCGGAGCUAAUACCGGAUAACAUGUUGAACCGCAUGGUUCAACAGUGAAAGACGGUUUUGCUGUCACUUAUAGAUGGAUCCGCAUCGCAUUAGCUAGUUGGUAAGGUAACGGCUUACCAAGGCAACGAUGCGUAGCCGACCUGAGAGGGUGAUCGGCCACACUGGAACUGAGACACGGUCCAGACUCCUACGGGAGGCAGCAGUAGGGAAUCUUCCGCAAUGGGCGAAAGCCUGACGGAGCAACGCCGCGUGAGUGAAGAAGGUCUUCGGAUCGUAAAACUCUGUUAUUAGGGAAGAACAAAUGUGUAAGUAACUAUGCACGUCUUGACGGUACCUAAUCAGAAAGCCACGGCUAACUACGUG